GAGGAAAUGCUGAUAAUAGGCCAGAGGUAUUCAGCAAGUUGGCUUACGCUACAGCUGAUCUAGUAGUUGGUGCAGGGCAGGAAGUAGCUGUUUCUCAGCAGACGCAGCAUCCGCCCCGUCCUCAAGCUGAACUCGUACAUGUAGGGUCCACUGUAGAGAUUGUUUCCAAAAGUGGAGAACCGAGCAACGUCUACGUCUGGGACGCCACAGCAUGGCUUCUUCAUCAUGGCCAAGGUGUCGGCAUC